GCGCAGCUGGCGGAGAGGCUGUCGCGCCGGCGGCCGCGCGCGCCGCUCAGAGUGGACCGAGUUCCAGACGAGCUCGGCGUGCAGUCCCGAGUUCUGUGCCCGGGCGAUGCCAUACCGUUUAUAGGUGUCGUGGGGAACCGACAACGCGAUGAUAACAGACGCUUCCUGAACCAGUUGCGGAGCCUGAGCCGGCAGCCGGUCGCCGACGUACCUGUUCAACCCAAUACGAGUACCAUUAUUACAGAAAAUACAGAAUUUUCAAGUAACGGACAGACAGAAGAAAGUUCACCGCACGA